rnacentral:lncRNA from 1 species
AGCAAGUGGACCUUUUGAAAGUCAUGAUCUUCUUCGGAAAGGUUUUUCUUGUGUGAAAAAUGAACUUUUGCCUAGUCAUCCCCUUGAAUUAUCAGAAAAAAAUUUCCAGCUCAACCAAGAUAAAAUGAAUUUUUCCACACUGAGAAACAUUCAGGGUCUAUUUGCUCCGCUAAAAUUACAGAUGGAAUUCAAGGCAGUGCAGCAGGUUCAGCGUCUUCCAUUUCUUUCAAGCUCAAAUCUUUCACUGGAUGUUUUGAGGGGUAAUGAUGAGACUAUUGGAUUUGAGGAUAUUCUUAAUGAUCCAUCACAAAGCGAAGUCAUGGGAGAGCCACACUUGAUGGUGGAAUAUAAACUUGGUUUACUGUAAUAGUGUGCUGUUCAUGGAAACCGAGGGCUGCAUCUUGUUUAUAGUCAUCUUUGUACUGUAAUUUGAUGUACACAACAUUAAAAGUACUGACACCUGAGAAUUUCUGCUCAAGUAGUAUCAGUGAUCAUUUAAAAUUUGGAGGGGUCUUUGGUUUACAGCCAUGUGACAAUUAAAAGCACUAAAGGGAGAUCAUGUUAAAGCUCUUAAUUUAUAUUAAAACAGUAGCCUUUGUCUUUAAAAAAGUUGUUGCUCAUGAAUAUUAUAAAAUGAUCUACAGGUUUCAAUUCAACCUGUUUCUAGGUUUUUUUGUAAAUUUAGUUUUGAUUAAGCAUUAUAAGCAUUUGAGUCUAUAAACUUUAUAGUAGCAUCUUUCAGAAUAAACAUUUUUAAUUGAUUUCAGUGGCAACUCUCAAAUUGAUUACAAUAUGAGAUAUAUCAGUGUCGUCCAUUAACACUCAUAAGAAUAAUAUUUACUGUGUCAGUGCUAUUUUAGGAUUAUAGUUAUUGUUUGAUUAUUUCAGGUUGAAAAGUAGAAGUUCCAAGGUUUUGAUUUUGGUCUGGUCUUUAAGUGAAAAAUUAAAGCAACCAGUAGAUGUAGGUUAAACUUUUACUUCAUAGACUUAAUAUGUAAUUAAUAUAUUGCCAAGCAACACUGUUAAAGAAAAGUAAAACUCAUUUUUUCUUGUUCUUAAUUUAUAUAUUACAAGAUACUGUAAGGUAUUCUUUAUGAAGUUGAUAUAUAAAAAUUUACAUUU